AUUGAACGCUGGCGGCAUGCCUUACACAUGCAAGUCGAACGGCAGCACGGGUGCUUGCACCUGGUGGCGAGUGGCGAACGGGUGAGUAAUACAUCGGAACGUACCUUAUCGUGGGGGAUAACGCAGCGAAAGCUGUGCUAAUACCGCAUACGCCCUGAGGGGGAAAGCGGGGGAUCGAAAGACCUCGCGCGAUUAGAGCGGCCGAUGCCUGAUUAGCUUGUUGGUGGGGUAAAAGCCCACCAAGGCGACGAUCAGUAGCUGGUCUGAGAGGACGAGCAGCCACACUGGGACUGAGACACGGCCCAGACUCCUACGGGAGGCAGCAGUGGGGAAUUUUGGACAAUGGGGGCAACCCUGAUCCAGCAAUGCCGCGUGAGUGAAGGAGGCCUUCGGGUUGUAAAGCUCUUUUGUCAGGGAAGAAACACCGGCUCUAACACAGUCCGGGAAUGACGGUACCUGAAGAAUAAGCACCAGCUAACUACGUGCCAGCCGCCGCGGUAA
rnacentral:rRNA from 1 species